rnacentral:rRNA from 1 species
GACGAACGCUGGCGGCGUGCUUAACACAUGCAAGUCGAACGGAAAGGCCCUGCUUUUGUGGGGUGCUCGAGUGGCGAACGGGUGAGUAACACGUGAGUAACCUGCCCUUGACUUUGGGAUAACUUCAGGAAACUGGGGCUAAUACCGGAUAGGAGCUCCUGCUGCAUGGUGGGGGUUGGAAAGUUUCGGCGGUUGGGGAUGGACUCGCGGCUUAUCAGCUUGUUGGUGGGGUAGUGGCUUACCAAGGCUUUGACGGGUAGCCGGCCUGAGAGGGUGACCGGCCACAAUAGGACUGAGAGAGGGCCCAGACGCCUACGGGAGGCAGCAGUGGGGAAUAUUGCACAAUGGGCGGAAGCCUGAUGCAGCAACGCCGCGUGCGGGAUGACGGGCUUCGGGUUGUAAACCGCUUUCGCCUGUGACGAAGCGUGAGUGACGGUAAUGGGUAAAGAAGCACCGGCUAACUACGUG